GGAAGGAUCAUUGACAAAUCUAAAACAUAUUGUUGCUUGGAGGGGCGGGGAGAGAGCUUUGCUGCUUUCUUUCUCUCUCUUCAAGUAUACAAACAUUCUAACCUGUGAAUUGGCAGUACGCAAGUGCUGUUUUAUUGGUUGUGUGUGUGCACAUAUAUAUAUAUAUAUAUAUUAUAUAUGUGUGUGUGUGUACUCUGCUUCCAUUAAACAUUUACGUAAACAAUUGUCUUAACAAAAAACAAAAACAAAAUACAACUUUUAGCAAUGGAUCUCUUGGCUUCUGUAACGAUGAAGAACGCAGUGAAAUGCGAUAAUUAAUGUGAAUUGCAUUAUCUCGUGAAUCAUCGAGUCUUUGAACGCAUCUUGCACUUUUCAGGUCUCCUGAAAAGUAUACUUGUUUGAGUAUCAUUAACAUUAACUCCAAGUGUGUGUGCUUACACGCAUGCUCUUGGGAAUUGGGACUUCAAGUUGCCUUGCGUAGCUUGUGACCUUUAAUUGAUACGUGGAGUGAUUCUGCGUGUGUGUGUGUGAACACACACACCAGAAGCCUAACAAUCAAAUGUGAGAUAAAUAUCGCACAGAGUAGUUGACAGGUUAAGCUUUGCUACGCCUAGAGGCUUCGGCCUCAACUCUGAUCUGUGAUCUCAAAUCAAGUAAGACUACCCGCUGAACUUAAGCAUAUCAGUAAGCGGAGGAAAAGAAACUAACAAGGAUUCCCCCAGUAACGGCGAGUGAAGAGGGAAGAGCUCAAAUUUAAAAUCUGUAAGGUUUCCUUACCGAUUGUAGUUUAUAGAAGUGUUUUCUUGGUGUAAGCAUUUGGUAUAAGUCUUUUGGAAAAGAGCAUCAAAGAGGGUGAUAAUCCCGUAUUUGGCCUUGUGUCUACACCUAUAUGAUACACUUUCUAAGAGUCGGAUUGUUUGGGAAUGCAGUCCUAAAUGGGUGGUAAAUUUCAUCUAAAGCUAAAUAUUGACAGAAGACCGAUAGCGAACAAGUACCGUGAGGGAAAGAUGAAAAGAACUUUGAAAAGAGAGUUAAAAGUACGUGAAAUUGCUAAAAGGGAAACGAUCAAAGUCAGUAUUGCGCCAAGAGGCUCAGUUAGCUUUAGAGGGAGCAGUGUGUUGGGAGAGUUUGAAGAAGCCUCUUGCAUGCUGUGCAACUUGGGAGUUGAUGCAUUCUUCUUGGUGCAAGUCAACAUCAGUUUGACUUGUUGGAUAAGGCUAUGAAGAAGGUGGGUAUGUCCUUCGGGGCAUAUCUUUAUAGAUUCAUGGCUGUAACACUGAGUUGGACUGAGGACUGCAAUCUAAAGCCGCAAGGCUGGAUUUAACCCUCCAUAAUUGUGAAGACAAGUGUACUCAGCACGCUGGCUGCAUUUGUCGACGCCUUUAUUGUUGGGAGCGAUACCAUUAGAUUUAGGAUGUUGACGAAAUGGCUUUGACCGACCCGUCUUGAAACACGGACCAAGGAGUCUACCAAUUGUGCGAGUGUUUUAGUGUUAAACUCAAGCGCGUAACGAAAGUGAUUUUAAUGGGAUCCGCAAGGUGCACCAUUAGCCAGUCAUUGAUUUAUCUUUGAUUGAGCAAGAGCACAACUGUUAGGACCCGAAAGAUGGUGAACUAUGCCUGAAUAGGGUGAAGUCAGAGGAAACUCUGAUGGAAGCUCGUAGCGGUUCUGACGUGCAAAUCGAUCGUCAAAUUUGGGUAUAGGGGCGAAAGACUAAUCGAACCAUCUAGUAGCUGGUUCCCUC
rnacentral:misc_RNA from 1 species